rnacentral:tRNA from 2 species
GCCUCGGUAGCUCAGUUGGUAGAGCAGGGGACUGAAAAUCCCCGUGUCGGUGGUUCAAGUCCGCCCCGAGGCACCA